AUGUGAAUCACCUGAGAUCUUUAUUGAAAUGCAGUUUGGGUCCAGCCUGAAGCCUGAGAGUCUUCAGUUCUAACAAGCUCCCAGGUGAUGCUGAC
rnacentral:miRNA from 1 species